rnacentral:rRNA from 1 species
UAGGGAAUCUUCCGCAAUGGACGAAAGUCUGACGGAGCAACGCCGCGUGAACGAUGAAGGUCUUCGGAUCGUAAAGUUCUGUUGUUAGGGAAGAACAAGUACCAGAGUAACUGCUGGUACCUUGACGGUACCUAACCAGAAAGCCACGGCUAACUACGUGCCAGCAGCCGCGGUAAUACGUAGGUGGCAAGCGUUGUCCGGAAUUAUUGGGCGUAAAGCGCGCGCAGGUGGUUUCUUAAGUCUGAUGUGAAAGCCCACGGCUCAACCGUGGAGGGUCAUUGGAAACUGGGGAACUUGAGUGCAGAAGAGGAAAGUGGAAUUCCAAGUGUAGCGGUGAAAUGCGUAGAGAUUUGGAGGAACACCAGUGGCGAAGGCGACUUUCUGGUCUGUAACUGACACUGAGGCGCGAAAGCGUGGGGAGCGAACAG